rnacentral:rRNA from 1 species
GACGAACGCUGGCGGCGUGCCUAAUACAUGCAAGUAGAACGCUGAAGAGAGGAGCUUGCUCUUCUUGGAUGAGUUGCGAACGGGUGAGUAACGCGUAGGUAACCUGCCUUGUAGCGGGGGAUAACUAUUGGAAACGAUAGCUAAUACCGCAUAACAAUGGAUGACACAUGUCAUUUAUUUGAAAGGGGCAAUUGCUCCACUACAAGAUGGACCUGCGUUGUAUUAGCUAGUAGGUGAGGUAAUGGCUCACCUAGGCGACGAUACAUAGCCGACCUGAGAGGGUGAUCGGCCACACUUGGACUGGGACACGGCCCAGACUCCUAAGGGAGGCCGCAGUAGGGAAUCUUCGGCAAUGGGGGCAAACCUGACCGAGCAACGCCGCGUGAGUGAAGGAGGUUUUCCGAUCGUAAAGCUCUGUUUUAAGUCAAGAACGGGUGUGAGAGUGGAAAGUGCACACUGUGACGGUAGCUUACCAGAAAGGGACGGCUAACUACGUG